GUUAUUGCCUGUUAUGUCUUCAAAUAUUUCUUCUGCCCCAUUGUCUGUCUCUCUCCUCGCCUUCUGGGAAUCCAAAUGUACAGAUAAAGAUGAAACAUCCAAUUGCAGAUAUGAAUGACCUAAUUCAAUGGAUGAGUCUGGAAGAGGACCAAGUUCAUGGGAAAGAUCAAAAAUUCAGUUUUGAAGAUGUUGAUGAGAAGAUGAGACAAAACCAUGUAUAGAUGCGGAUGAGCUAAUUAAAUAUAUGAGUCUGGAGCUGAAAGGAAAUGCCUUGACAAGAGAAGUAAAUUUGAGGACCAUCAGUAUACAGAUGUACUUGAAUCCAUCUAUGUAAAUGCAAUCACCCUGGGAGGAAAUUUAGAGUGAGAACAGGACUGCGUGGAAAGACAUUAAAGAAGUUAAAGAAAGAAGAACUAACAAAGGCAGGAGAGAAGAAGAGGACGGAGAGGUAGGAGAGAAACCAGUAAUGUGCGAUGGCAUAGAAAUUAAGGAAGUUUCCAAGAUUGAAGAAGGAGGGAGAGAGGGCUAUGGAAGUCACAGGUUGGAGGUGGUGCCCAGAGCCUGGAAUAAACAUUUACCCUAGUGUUCAUCAGAGAGUGAAUGAGGCCUGGGAAUCCAAGACUUGCCAAAGAUUAUUCUGCCUGGAACAGGUCAAAAUACAGCAAAGGAUAUGAAGGGACACUACAAGAUGGGAAAAUGGGUGCCUCAUUGUUAACUGAUGUGGACAGAUGAUGGGUAACCACAUAAUCUUCUCUACGUCAUUUUUGAUACUACCAAAAAUUCUGGGUUCUUGGCAUCAUAGCAAAACUCAGAUGUAGAGAGAAGCCCCACAAUUAGAUGAAGUAAAAUUUUCCUACUUGAAGUUGAAUUUCACUGAAGUGAAAUCAGGUCACAGAGUCUAAAAUUAAGUUGAUCUAGGAAAACUGAAAAAAAGAGUAUUUAUUCCACAGUUGAAGUGUAGAAAGGAAUUAAUCUAUGCUAUAAUAGUAAUAGUUAAAAUUUAUUGAACUUUUACUAUAUGACAAGAACUUUGAUAAUAUGUUUAUUUGCAUUGACUAGUUCAUUUAAUUCUGACAGAACUUUUUAAUAUACUUAUACAUCACUUAACAAUGAAGACACAUUCUUAGAAAUGCACUUUUAGGUAAUUGUGCCCUUGUGUGAACAUCAUAGAGUGUACAUACACAAACCUAGAUGAUAUUGAUAGCAACAAGAAACAGACAAGGCAGACAUGGAUGGGUCCCUGGUGAAACUCAACCUUCAAGCCAAGAACAGUCUAAAGCCUGAAAACCAAGCAACAGUUACAGAUAGAAUUCACGGACCAGAAUGAGAACUUCCAUUUCCAUCUUACCUACUCUCUCUCUAUUGGUUCUUUCUGAAUGAUGCCUUUUAGCCAAUCAAAUGCUCCCUUUUCCAAGCCCACCCAUAAAUCAAUCAGCAUGCGUUCCCCCCAUUCUAAGUUCAUAAAACCCUGGAUUCAGCCUCAUAGACGGCUACGCUCUUUGGGGUCCCCUCUUGCUGUUGAGAGCUUUUCUUUCAUUCAGUAAAUUCUACUCUGCCUUACCCUGCCUCCAGUGUCCACGUACCUUAUUACUCUUGGCCACGGGACAAGAACCCAUAACUCACUGAACUAUGGGAGCAAAAGAGCUGUAACAUUCCUGUUCACUGAGCCGUGGGCAGGAAGAGUAAAAGAGCUG
rnacentral:lncRNA from 10 species